GGAGAGGUGGCUGAGUGGUCUAAAGCGGUUGAUUCGAAAUCAGCUGGAUGCCGCGAGGUGUCCCGUGGGUUCGAAUCCCACCCUCUCCG
rnacentral:tRNA from 1 species